CCCUACGGGGGGCAGCAGUGGGGGAUAUUGCACAAUGGGGGGAGCCCUGAUGCAGCGACGCCGCGUGGGUGAAGAAGCGCCUCGGCGCGUAAAGCCCUGUCAGCAGGGAAGAAAAUGACGGUACCUGAAGAAGAAGCCCCGGCUAACUACGUGCCAGCAGCCGCGGUAAUACGUAGGGGGCAAGCGUUAUCCGGAUUUACUGGGUGUAAAGGGGGCGCAGACGGCGAUGCAAGCCAGGAGUGAAAGCCCGGGGCCCAACCCCGGGACUGCUCUUGGAACUGCGUGGCUGGAGUGCAGGAGGGGCG
rnacentral:rRNA from 1 species